CUGGUUGAUUCUGCCAGUGAUAUAUGCUUGUCUCAAAGACUAAGCCAUGCACAUGUAAGAUCGGCAUAGGCAUUAAACUGGCUGUGCUUCGGUACAGUCGGUUUUGUUCAUUGUUAAUCUGUGGACAGCUCAUUAUAACAGUUAUACACUUAGCCACUGGUACGAUAUUGGUUUUCGGGCCAAUUACAAGGAUAACAUUGUCAAAUGCAGCGAUAAUACUUGAUUGACGAGGCGGUGCAAGCCGUCUGGCAUUAGCGUAGCUUCUGUGAGGAAACCGCGCUACUGUAACCCUUGGUUUGCUAAUGGAUUCGUUCAUUAGCGGCCGGGGCGUCGACCAUUAGAAGCGCUUCACGCGCACAAGGUUUACCUAAAAGUGUUUUAAUAAGAUACUUGAUGGUGAUUUUUGCUAGUGGCCAGGAAGAGGUGUUUCUUAUCUAUCAGCUGAAGUUGUUUCAGUAAGGGUAAAACACGGCGAUCACGGAUACGGGGGAUCAGUGUCUGAUUCCGGAGAGGGAGCCUGAGAAAUGGCUACUACAUCUAAGGACGGCAGCAGGCGCGAAAAUUACCCAAUCUCAAUUCGAGGAGGUAGUGACAAGAAAUAACAACUUUACACCAAUCGGUGGAAAGGUACUAUCUAAUAGUUUGGAAUGGUUUUAGAUUAAAAUUCUAUUAGAGUACCGACUAGAGGAAAAGUCUGGUGCCAGCACCCGCGGUAAUUCCAGCUCUAGUAGCGUAUAUCAAUACUGUUGUAGUUAAAACGCUCGUAGUUGACCCAAGGGUUGUCGGUUUGGGUUCGAUGUUGACCCAUGUUCAUGCUAUACCGUGUUAUAACGGUGUGGUGGAGCGUGUGGCCGAUGUCCUCGGCGCCUGGCCCAGUCGAGUUUUACUCUGACUGGAGUUCAAGGCGUGGGCCCUUACUGGCAAUCCGAUCCUUGCCACUGGUUCUCCAGUGGUAAAGGCCAUAUGGUACAACUGUAAACAAAUCAGAGUGCUCAAAGCAGGCAUUGUUUGGGGUUUCGGCUCCUAUUUUGCUUGAAUGAUUUAGCAUGGGAUUGUCUUGGAGCCGUGAACAGCACCCAGGUGGUUUCCAUCUGGAAUGUUGUUCAUUGGCGCUUGUAAUGUGAAGCAGGGAGAGGGCUCAAGUACUAUGGCGCUAGAGGUGAAAUUUAGAUACCAUCAUAUGACUUUCUGAUGCGAAAGCGGUUAUUGUCCAAUACACUUCUCUCGAUCAGGGACGAAAGUUAGGGGAUCGAAGAUGAUUAGAUACCGUCGUAGUCCUAACUAUAAACGAUACCAACAAGAGAUUGGUAGUGAAACCAUUUAAUAGAUCCUCUCAGAAUCCAAGGGAAACCUCAAGUCUUUGGGUUCUGGGGGGAGUAUAGUCGCAAGGCCGAAACUUAAAGGAAUUGACGGAAAGGCACCACCAGGAGUGGAGUUUGCGGCUUAAUUCGACUCAACGCGGGAAAACUCACCAGGUCAGGACAAAGGUAUGAUUGACAGGUUGAAAGUCUUUUCUUGAUUCUUUGGAUGGUGGUGCAUGGCCGUUCUUAGUUCGUGGAGUGAUUUGUCUUGUUAAUUCAGUUAACGAACGAGACCUUAACCUACUAACUAGGCUGCAAGCCGUAGAUUUUCGGAUUUACGGUUCGUUUUAAUGGAGUAUCUCGUAUGAGGUAUUCUUCGAAACUUGCAUUCUGGGAUUAUUGGCACUCUGUGUUAGUAAUCCUUGCUUCUUAGAGGGACAAUACUUCGUUUAUAUUAGAGUAAGGAAGUUUAAGGCAAUAACAGGUCUGUGAUGCCCUUAGAUGUCCUGGGCAGCACGCGUACUACACUGUUAAUACUAACAAGUCAGUACAAUGUGGUAACUUUUGUUGCCACUGGCCUUCUCCCUAGAGGAGUGGGAAAUCUUUUCAAACAUUAACGUGACAGGGAUAGCUGUUUGUAAUUCCAUCUUGAACGAGGAAUUCCUAGUAAUCGCGAUUCAUUAUAUCGCAUUGAUUACGUCCCUGCCUUUUGUACACACCGCCCGUCGCUCCUACCGAUGGAACAAAAAGGUGAAUUUGACGGACUUGAGACUUUGUCUUGGGGAAAUUAACUGAACCUUUCUGUUUGUAGGAAGGAGAAGUCGUAACAAGGUCUUCGUAGGUGAACCUGCGGAAGGAUCAAAUCACUAGUGAAUUC
rnacentral:rRNA from 1 species